rnacentral:lncRNA from 1 species
CACUUAAAAAUUAAAAUAUCGAACAAAAAUUAACGUACAAACACUGAUCAUGUCCUUUGAUAAUACUAACACUAAUAUUAAGAUUAACAGCACAAAAUUGGUACUGGUGAACGCAAAUUGCAUACGUCGCCCGUCUGUAAAAUGGUAUAUAAAACAGAGAGUUUGAAGUAAUAACAAUUUAUAACCGAUAUGGUCAUAAAAGAGAUGUCGUGGUAGUAGUGGUGAUGAUGAUAUAGUGGUGGUAAGUAUAACAAUUUGCUGAGCUUCACACAUACAAAACAUACAAGUACUCUAUACGUCACUGCUUAUAAUAGCAUUUGUUUACAUCAUAACAAAAGAUAAUAAUUCACAGUUUACGAUCGAUAAAAAUAAACUAAAAUGUUAUUACCGAAACAUAUAUAGUAUAUAUACCUAUGCCUAAAGUUACAACUAAUAAAAAGUAAUCGGUUUUAAAUAAUAUAUAUUUUAUUGUUUAUUGCGUAUUUGUUUUUAAUUAAAAAUUAUUUUUUUAUAAUUAUUGUAGUAUUUAUGCCCGUCGUUUAAAUUUGAAAUGCAUUUGAAUAAUUGGCUGAAUUUCGUGGUCGGGUGUGUAAUAAUAAUUACAACAGUUUGUCAGCGCCACAUAUGUAGAUACUCUUAUCUAGUAAAAUUAUUAAUUUUUGACUGCAGUGUCCAACACGUAUAUACUCAUUAUUUAUAAAUUAAUACCGAAUCGGUGAAUAUUACAAAUGAUAACAGUAUAAUUAUCAAAUAGCAUAUUAAGUUACUUUUUUAUUAUUUUAAUACUCUUCCUUUAAGGAAUAAUAUCAAAAAUAAGAGCUCUAUAUGGAAUAGUAUCUAGAAAAUACGAAAUUAAUGGAUUGGACACGAAAUGAGACAUGGCGAGUUGCUGGGGUUAAUUAUAGACGUGUGCUUGGAAGGUAAAGAGUUGUACGAGGAAGACCAUGUCGUAUAUACGACAGAUAUUUAAAGGACUAAACGUGUGAUUCUUAUGAAGAAACGAAAAUAAAGGCCACGGAACAGAGAAGGGCGAAGAAUCGUUACAAACCAACCUUAGGAUUAAACAGAAAAAGAAGAAGAAGCACGUGCUACUUUAUGAAUUUGUUCGUGUCUGUCUGCCUGCAGUUGGUCCGUAUGUGCUCACAUAAUCUUGCAAAUUUCGAAACGCUGUUUCCACUAAACGAUUAUUUAGACCCUAUAGAUUCCAAUCGGUUACAAUCGGGAGCUUAUACGCCACUUUGAUACGCCAGUUUGUACCGGUAUAUCAUAUAUACCUAAUAUAUUAUAACUUACACAUAAGAUUUGCGGAAUGAAGAACGUAACACUUCCCAGACUUAAUUCAUCGGUAAAACAAACUUUUUCGUCAUGCAUUCGCACGGCAAUAGAUUCGCAUGCAAAUAUAAUAACGAAUUCGAUCAGGGGCUGCUCGCCUUAUUGUUUAAAUGCGUUAAUACAACAAGCGAGCGUCCGGCCUUUAAUCUCCCGAAAUUAUAUAGUGUUAAUAAUAUUACCAACAACCAAACUAUGUAUAAUAUAUCGUGAUAUUAUUUUUUAAACAGACUAUAAAAAUAAAAUAUUUUUCUUACAGCAUCUUAACUAUUUUUGAAAAAUCUUUCACAUGAGAAGUUUUAAUCUUCAAACACUACCGUAUAUAAUGACGCAUAUAUAUAUAUUAUAUACAUGCGUAUACCCCGAACCAUACCGAAAUUUUCGAUUGCAUUUUUUUAAAGAUCAAAAGCCAAGUUUUAAACAACCGAAAAUAACUAACUGCUACGACUCUACUACUACUACUACUACUACUACUACUACUACUACUACCAUAAUGAGUUGUUAUGAAACCGCAAUAUUUUCGCUCGGUUAAUCCGAUAAUAUUAUCUUUUUUACUUAUAGUUUUUCGGCUAAUAAAACAAUACGGUGGUUUUCUCGUUAAUAACUCCGAAAAUCCAAGUUUGCUAUUUUUUUUUUUUUUUUUUUUUUUAUUUAUAUUUCCGCUUUGGGUUCGCCGCUUACAAAGCAAAACCUCAAUAUACCCCAUCGUUAAUCAAAAUAUAUACUUAGGUAUUGGGAUUCCAUGUUUAUAUAUACC